UUAAAGAAAUUUUAAAAUAAA
rnacentral:piRNA from 1 species